rnacentral:misc_RNA from 1 species
GGAAAGAGCAUUGCAAUUCAUGAAAAUCAAUUUUAAAAAUACUAAAAAUGUUUUCCUGUAUAUACAUAUAAAAUGAUUCAAAAUUCAGAAGCUUUUCCUCAGUUACAGAAGUUUAAAUGGAAAUAAAAUUCCUAAAUAGUAACAGUUUCAAAAAGGCAGAACAAAUUGCUACAUAUGAAUGCUGGUUUCUCAGAAUUCAGUAUACAAUCAGCAGAUAAAAACUACUACUGAUUUCUUGCAAUUCAAAAAGCAAUCUGAUAUAAAUGGAUUUUAAAAUUCUAUAAUAGAACAUUCUUUUCCUUUGCUUAUUCAAACAUAAUGCUG